rnacentral:rRNA from 1 species
UAAUAGUGAAGAUGCUAUUUAAUAAUUGUAAGACGAGAAGACCCUAUAGAGCUUAACUAUAACCUUUAACUAAAUGACGAUAAUUUAUCUGUCAGUAUUAAAGGUUGGUAGUUUGGUUGGGGCGACCAUCUUCUAAAUGUAACGAAGAUAAACAAUGAUAGAUAAAAAUUAUUAAUUUGACUGUAUAAUAAAUAUAUUUAACAGGUAUUAAAAUAGGUAAAUUGACCCGUUUAUUUUGAAUAAGAAAAAUAACGAUUAAUAAAUAAAAGCUACCUUAGGGAUAACAGCGUAAUCUUAUUUAAGAGUUCUUAUCGNCAAUAAGGUUUGCGACCUCGAUGUUGAAUUGCGAUAACCUGAGGGUGCAGCAG